UAGUUGGUGAAAGUCCAACCGAAGGAGGGUCCAAGCCACCUUCGUAGCUAGGACACCUGCGUAUGGAGAAAUCCAUGCGUAGAAGCGUGUCGACGAAAGUAUCUGUCAGUGACAGGGCGAGCAAUAUGCCAGGCCGUAACAUAA
rnacentral:ncRNA from 1 species